rnacentral:rRNA from 1 species
AUGAACGCUAGCUACAGGCUUAACACAUGCAAGUCGAGGGGCAGCAUGGUCUUAGCUUGCUAAGGCCGAUGGCGACCGGCGCACGGGUGAGUAACACGUAUCCAACCUGCCGUCUACUCUUGGACAGCCUUCUGAAAGGAAGAUUAAUACAAGAUGGCAUCAUGAGUCCGCAUGUUCACAUGAUUAAAGGUAUUCCGGUAGACGAUGGGGAUGCGUUCCAUUAGAUAGUAGGCGGGGUAACGGCCCACCUAGUCUUCGAUGGAUAGGGGUUCUGAGAGGAAGGUCCCCCACAUUGGAACUGAGACACGGUCCAAACUCCUACGGGAGGCAGCAGUGAGGAAUAUUGGUCAAUGGGCGAGAGCCUGAACCAGCCAAGUAGCGUGAAGGAUGACUGCCCUAUGGGUUGUAAACUUCUUUUAUAAAGGAAUAAAGUCGGGUAUGGAUACCCGUUUGCAUGUACUUUAUGAAUAAGGAUCGGCUAACUCCGUGCCAGCAGCCGCGGUAAUACGGAGGAUUCGAGCGUUAUCCGGAUUUAUUGGGUUUAAAGGGAGCGUAGAUGGAUGUUUAAGUCAGUUGUGAAAGUUUGCGGCUCAACCAUAAAAUUGCAGUUGAUACUGGAUAUCUUGAGUGCAGUUGAGGCAGGCGGAAUUCGUGGUGUAGCGGUGAAAUGCUUAGAUAUCACGAAGAACUCCGAUUGCGAAGGCAGCCUGCUAAGCUGCAACUGACAUUGAGGCUCGAAAGUGUGGGUAUCAAACAGGAUUAGAUACCCUGGUAGUCCACACGGUAAACGAUGAAUACUCGCUGUUUGCGAUAUACGGCAAGCGGCCAAGCGAAAGCGUUAAGUAUUCCACCUGGGGAGUACGCCGGCAACGGUGAAACUCAAAGGAAUUGACGGGGGCCCGCACAAGCGGAGGAACAUGUGGUUUAAUUCGAUGAUACGCGAGGAACCUUACCCGGGCUUAAAUUGCAGAUGAAUUACGGUGAAAGCCGUAAGCCGCAAGGCAUCUGUGAAGGUGCUGCAUGGUUGUCGUCAGCUCGUGCCGUGAGGUGUCGGCUUAAGUGCCAUAACGAGCGCAACCCUUGUUGUCAGUUACUAACAGGUUCCGCUGAGGACUCUGACAAGACUGCCAUCGUAAGAUGUGAGGAAGGUGGGGAUGACGUCAAAUCAGCACGGCCCUUACGUCCGGGGCUACACACGUGUUACAAUGGGGGGUACAGAGGGCCGCUACCACGCGAGUGGAUGCCAAUCCCCAAAACCUCUCUCAGUUCGGACUGGAGUCUGCAACCCGACUCCACGAAGCUGGAUUCGCUAGUAAUCGCGCAUCAGCCACGGCGCGGUGAAUACGUUCCCGGGCCUUGUACACACCGCCCGUCAAGCCAUGGGAGCCGGGGGUACCUGAAGUGCGUAACCGCGAGGAGCGCCCUAGGGUAAAACUGGUGACUGGGGCU